UCGUUGGCAGCGCUCUUUCGUCAUUGUUAGACAGAUUAAGCCUCGUCCAUGCGUCGCCAUAAAAUUAAUGGCUUCCGGCGAAACUUUCUCGGCGGCGAUAAUCA
rnacentral:antisense_RNA from 1 species